rnacentral:rRNA from 1 species
AGUGUAGGCGGCUACUUAAGUCGGAUGUGAAAUCCCCGGGCUCAACCUGGGAAUUGCAUUCGAUACUGGGUAGCUAGAAUUUAGUAGAGGUAAGUGGAAUUCCGGGUGUAGCGGUGAAAUGCGUAGAUAUCCGGAGGAACAUCAGUGGCGAAGGCGGCUUACUGGACUAAAAUUGACGCUGAGGCUCGAAAGCGUGGGGAGCAAACA